AAAAAAAAAAAGAACCAAAAAAGAAAAUAAUCAUACAAUUGUGCUACAAGUGCCACUAACUCCUUGCCACUUGAAGCCACAAUUAGGGGAGUGCUUUCAACCUAGAAAAUGAAGGGAGAAGGGAGCAGCUCCACACUUUGGUACCUUGGCUUGUUCCAUGCAUCACCUAAAGGGUGACAGUGAUGAAGCAAGACCAUCUACCAUUGUGGAUUUUCUCUGACUCCCUUCUCUGUUAAGUGAAACAUUCUUAGCAGCCAUCUCUUUCAUGCAGGUUACCAAGGUCAAUCUGAAUGCCUUAUCAACUGUUCUUUCGAACUAACACUAGAAAUGUAUACACAAAGAGUGCACUUUAUUUCUGUGUUGUUGUUUUUUUCUUUUUCUUUUUUUUAAGACUUGGGUAAAACCCCAGCUUCUUAUCCUUGCGUAACAACUCGACUGCCCUCUUGAGCACCUCUCCAACUUUCAGAGACAUUCACUAGCCAAUCAAGUAACCAAUGUAAACCCACAUAUGACACACUAACUGUAUACAUAAAUCCAAUUUAAUUGAGCCUUUAGCAUGUGCAAAAGUUUUAGCAUGUGCAAAACUAGCGGCAUGAUCAGGGACUGGUCAACGGUUUAGUUAAACACAAGCAGUGAUCAUGGUGUUCUUGCACUUGCUUGCAAUUUUAGCAUUACAAUAAGGCUCUCUUCAAUCUGGCAACAAUACAUGCACCUUAAACAUGAAAUCCCCAAUCCCAUGCUAACUGCAUUCAGAAUAAUAAGUUAAGGAUUUUCAAGGCAGUUGCACUACAGUAUAAGAAUAACACUCAUAGCAAAAGACCUCAAGUACAUCAAACACUGUUCGAAUCUGGAUCUUCAAAAUACGCAAUACAUUGCUGAUUGCCGUGUACAUUCACAUCCGCCAGCACUAUGGUAAAUCCCAUUAAGACAUUUGUGUGAUUUUUCCAGUUGAUCUGAUACUGAUUCCUAAAUGUUGGAUUGAAUACAACUUCAUGCUCCUUAUGUAUUUUCAUACUGUAUUCCAUUUAUGUGUUUGAUUAUUUGUGGAUUGUUUUGGCCUUUCACAGUUUAGCGCAAAUGCUUCACAAGAUCUCAGGUAAGCAAUCUGUAGCCUGUUUGCUUUAGGUUUACACUGCCUUUCAUGUUGAUAGUUUAAAUAUCCCAUCAUGGAUUUAAUCAGCCCAACCUUUCUUCUUAAGGAUGUUAAGUGCAUUCAAACCAAAAGUCAAUUUUAAGGGAGACAGGUGAAUACUAUGUCUAAUUUGACUGCCACACGCAACUGGCAAAGCUGUGUCUAGUGAAUUGCUUUCUUGGUGCCUUUGUGUUUCAACCCACAUGGCUAAAAUAAAGACGUCCUCACAAGUAAAGGGAGAAGCAUCACAUAACUGAACUGUAGUCAAAACGGCGCAUUCAGAUUAAUCAUUUUCAAGGCCUUCUUACGAGAAAAAGGACAUUUCACAAUAUCCUAAAAGAUGACCGUAAGAAUUUUAGAAUGAACUUAAAUUACGUAGAAAUAUCAAAAGAAACAGCUCCACUUUUAAGACUUGCCAUGUGAAAGAUGGCAUUUUCUUGCUCAUUUUUCUUUCAAAGACGUUUCAUGCAACAACAAUUUCUUUGAACAAUGAAACACAUAUUUGUUAUAUGUUCAGUUAAAAAAAGAAGCUUGUUUUACAUAUUUUUAAAUAUACUUCUUUUCCAGGGCAGGCACCGUACGCACAAACCAGGUACAGAGGCAUGCCACAAACUUGCAUUGCUUUUGCAUUCUACUAUUGGCAGCUGUGAUGUCAUUGAAGCAGCAAGCUGGUGGGCAGUCCUAUUAUUUGGUUGAUCCCGAACAUCUCACAUUCUAAGCCAUGCCCACAACUCUCCACACUGCUACUGUGACAUCACAGAGGGAGGGAGGUAUGGGGAUAGUACAAGCUAGAAUGGGAAAAAGGCAGCGCAACAAGACUCCGUGGCGCAUGCAGAGAUGGGUGUGGGGUUGAAAGGUUGGGGACGUAAGGGAGGGAGAGGUCUGGCCCAGGGUUGCAGUCAGAUAUUCGGAAGAGGGUGGGGUUAAAGUCGAGGAAAACGGACGAUGUUCAUGUUUGUUUGUUUUUUUGUUGUUGUUGUUUUUUGUUUUUUUUGCACUACAUGUUACUUCUAUGUAUUUUAAAUCACAUUUAGUUUCUUAAAUUUAUACAACAUUAUGUCACAGAUGAGGCUCAUUGUGGUUUGUAUCUCUCCCUGUGCUGGUACUGUGAUAGGAGGAUAGAGACAGAGAGAGAUUAUGGAUAUUGCAUCGGAGGAGCAAUAUUAAACUGGGAAGCAUGACCACAAUUCAGCAAUUUUGUACUGCAAUCGGUACCGGCUGUAGCGAAUCUGGAAGAAGAGCCUCUCCAGCGGUGAACGGGUCAUCCCA